rnacentral:misc_RNA from 1 species
CUCACAUUGUAGAAAAUGGCGGAGGUGAAGGGGUUGGAGGUUUUACAAGAAGAAUUAGAACGAGCAAAAUAUAAAUUAAGAGAUGUCAACGAAAACAUUAAAAAGCUAACAGGACGAGAUCCAGAAGAGCAAAGAAAUUUCGGAAGACGUGACUUUGCGAGUCCAGAUGCCAGGGGUCGUGGCUGGGGGCGUGGUGCACAACUUGGUCGGAGGCGGUUGUCGGAUGACGGUCCAGCAGCUAAGAGACGCUUAUUGACUGGAGCUUUUGCUAGACUUGGUGCCCGACCAGUGGUGCCUGGACGACAGCAGCGAGAGGAUAGCUGGGACGAGGAUGAACCAGAAGAUGCACCGGCUAUCCAGUCAACAGUUGUGGCCGCUGGUAUGAAACGGACUCGCAAGGACAUGAUCCGCGAACAGACAGAGGACCGGAAAGGAUUGGCCAGGAAUAAAAGGAUGUUUGGCCUUCUUCUUGGAACUCUACAGACUUUCAAACGAGAAGCUAAGGAAAAUAAAGAUAAGGAAGACCUGAGGAAGCAGAUUGAGAGCAAGUUGGAGGAGAAGGCUCGCACUGAGCGUGCUCAGAUCCAGCAGGAGAGGAAGCAGCUCGUCCUCGAGAUGCAGCAUGAGCAGGCCAAGAUCAGCCGCCUCGAGCAGAAGAUGGAGCUAGUCCAGCAGCAUGACAUUUGGGAGCAGGAGACGAGGAAGCUGGAGAACUUUAUCUGUACUCAGACUCUGCCGCGCAUCUUCUUCCUGCCGAAAUCUCACACAACAUCGACACUGGCCAAACUGAAGGAUUCCAGCAAGGUGGUGGAGGAGAUGAUCUCAGACAGACGCGUCUUGAUGGAGAAAGAAAUUGAAGAACUGAUGCGUUUGGAACAGGAGAGAGAGGAGAGGAUUCGAAUGAGGAAGUGCGAGAGAUUGUUGUCUGGGCCUGAGGGCCGCGGCGACGAGGAAGAACACAUGCAGGAGGAAGGUGAAGAGAAAGAAAAUCAAAACGAUGAUGACGACGACGUUGGUGAGGAUGAGGAUGAUGAGAGCAUGGAAAACGAAGAUUUUAGUAAAACUAGACGUGAGGAGGAGGGGGAGGAAGGUGUAAGCUUCAACAAAGAGAAAGGAGACUCAGCAUGGAAGGGUGAUGAGGAGAAAGGUAUUUCCGGUGGGGAGCGGGAAGGAGGCGACUCGAGGGAGGGUCAGGGUAGAGAGUCGUGUGAUGACGAGAAGGGUAAGUCUUCUGAUGGCUUGAGAGAACGCGAGCUGCUUGAGGAUGUGCAGCAGGCUGGUGACCACAGGCAGUUCAUUAGUGCUGACUCGGAGGAAACCCCUUUGGUGGAGAAUGGGGAUGAAUCCGGGGAGGGUUUGUUGGUCAAAGAAGAUGGAAAGGGAAAGGAUAGUUCCAAGGGUGAGAGGAAUGGCCUUGAGGAGGGUGCAAAGAAAGAGAGGUCCAGAGAGAAAGAUGAGAGUGAGGCUGUGGUUAGAAAGCAUGGAAGAGAGAGGUUGGGAGAUAGGGACAAGAGUGCAAGUAAAGGGAAAAAGACUGAUACGGAAAAAUCCAAAGAAAGAAAUAGAAGUAGAUCAGGGGAUAAAACCAGGAGCAGGUCAAGGGAUAGAUAUAGAAGUAGGUCAAGGGAUGGAGAUACAGAGAGAAGUAGGUCCAGAGGGAUAGAGAAUGAGAAGAGUGGUGAUAAAUUGAAAAAGACUCAUAAAGAAAAAUCCAAAGAUAGGGAAAGGAAUGUAUCAGGAGAUAGAAGCAAGUCGAGGGAGAGAGAUACGGGUAGGUCGUCUAGAGGGAAGGAGAGGAGCAGGUCAAAAGAAAGAAGUGGAGAGAAAAUGAAAAAGAACAGAGAAAAGUCAAAGGAUAGAGAGAGGAGCAGGUCACGGGAUAAGAGUAGGGAGAGAAAAAGAGAUAGGAGUAGGUCACCUGAUAGGAGUAGGGAUUUAAUUAAAGAUAGGAGCAUGUCAUGUGAUAGGAGUAGGGAUAGAAUUAAAGAUAGGAGCAGGUCACGUGAUAGGAGUAGGGAUAGAAUUAAAGAUAGGAGCAGGUCACGGGAUAGGAGUAGGGAUAGAAAAAGAGUGGGGAGCAGGUCACGGGAUAGAAGUAGGGAUAGAAAACAAGACAGAAGUAGGGAUAGAGUUAGAAAGAGGGAAAGUUCACGAGAAAGACACCAUGCUGACAGAAAGAAGCGACAUGAUAGCGAGAAGGACAAGGAUGCUCGGAAAAAGAGUAAAGAUGAGCGUCACAGGAGUCGGGACAAGGAGAGUCGCAGGAGGAGGACCAGUGAACGACAGGGCAGUGUUGACUUGGACCUCAAACAGAGACGUGACUCGGAGGUGAAGGACAGAGAGGCUAAACAGCUACAGGUGAAGUCUGCUAACAGUGAGACUGACAGAGACACAGGUGAAGCAGAGUUACACGGGGAGCAGUACAUGCUGCCACAAGUAGACAUCAGCAGCAUCAGACUACCAGACGAAGAUCCGAGGACAGUCAGCACACCAAGUCAGAAACCCACUACUGACAUGGAUGCAAACCAGUCUCAGAAUGCAAGUGAAAAAAAACAUCGCAGGGUUAACCGUUGGGACAGGACUACUAAAGAGGCAGGUGAUGAUGCCAAGAAAAGUGGCUUUGAGGAGGAAAAUGUUGAACUGUGGGAUUCUGCUCAGGCUGCAAAACUCUCCGACAGCCAGAGAAGAAUUCAGAUGGCCGAGGAUGAAGAAGAUGAUGAUAAUCAGGGUGUGGACGAGUGAAUCAUUGUAAUCAGGGUGUGGACGAGUGAAUCAUUGUAAGCAGGGUGUGGACGAGUGAAUCAGGGUGUGGACGAGUGAAUCAUUGUAAUCAGGGUGUGGACGAGUGAAUCAGGGUGUGGAUGAGUGAAUAAUUGUAAUCAGGGUGUGGACGAGUGAAUCAGGGUGUGAAUGAGUGAAUCAUUGUAAUCAGGAUGUGGACGAGUGAAUCAGGGGUGUGUUAGAUGAGUGAAUCAUUGCAUCAUGGCGUGUUAGAUGAGUGAAUCAUGGUGUGGAUGAAUGAUUCAUUAGUUUCACAGCCUUUGAAAUGAUUUGGCUAUUAAUUGUUGCAACUUGGGUUCGGAUGAGUCGAUUGUUUCACGGCCUUUCAAAGUAGUUGGUUGAUCAUUGUACUUGGAUUAUGCAGAGGUCUUGCUACAUGUCAUAAGCAAUGGCGGGCCAGCCAUCUCUUAAGACUAAUUUCCAAUACGCCCACCAUCCAUUGGCAGCGAUAGUAAUAUCCGCCAUCCGUUUAUUUAGGCCACCAUCCAAAAUCACAAGUAAUGCCAUCAUCUUGAACUACCAGAGUAAUCAGAUUCAUCGUCUUUACAAGACAUUUUUGAAGUACAUGUACCCUGCAAAUCUUAGGUACCAUCCCUUCCUAUAAGUGGAACCAGCUCUACCGAUUUCCUCCAUCCCUUUCCUGAAUACUGGAGAGACCACUGGUAUGGAUGUGUGAAUUAAUCAUUUCAGUCUUUUAGAGCAGAUGGCUGAUGAACACUGUAAAGGGAUGUAGAUGUAUUAAUUAUUUGGCUAUUUCCUAACAUUUCUAAACAUGGUUGUAAUCAGGAAGUAGAUGUUUGAAUAAUUUGUCUGUUUUCUAACUUUUUUAAAUCAGGUGGCUAACGAUCCUUGUAAUAAGAGUGCAGAUGAGAGAAUGACUUCCCAUCCUUUCAAAUAGAUUAUCGCAAUCAAUUUAUGGAUAAUUUGCCUGUUUCUCCAAAUUUUCACGCUAUGGAUGGGUGAAUGAUGUCUUAAAUUUUCAAUUAUUUGUCAGUUCAGUGUUAAGUGAUCAGUUUUCAAAGCAUUGUUACUGUCUGCUGUCACCUGUGUAUUUUUCUUACAUUAUGGCUUUUGGAACAUCUAGAAAUAUAACAUGUUGAAUAACACAAUUACUGGUUUGAGAAUUUGUGUGUGUGUGUGUGUGUGUUUAAGUGAGAGACUACUACAGAUUGCUACAGAACCCAUAUCUCCCAUCAACCAAUACAUAUUGUGUAUAAAUAAUGAUUUCAACUUGUUGUUUGGAUUUGUUCCCCAUGGAGAUGACAGCAAACCGUCUGAUGAUCUCAGUUUCUAGCUGCCUAUGUUGGCAGGUCGGUUCCUAUUGAGUGUUGGUUCAUAGAUGGCAGGGCCAACACUGUUGUUGGUAGUCUAAGACAUAAUAAUCAGUGUGGCAGCAUGCUAUGGAUGUGAGAGGUUUAUGUGGUGUGUGUGCUGCUGUCCCCUUCACAUGACAGUUUUAUCUUGUAUUUAGAUCAGCUGUUAAUGUUAGACAAACAUAUAAACAUUGUAUCAUGACUUCAUUUCAUCAAGUCGUUAUGUCAGCUUUCAUAUGUACUCGCUUUUAUGUGCAUUGCUUGUCAGUGUUUGACAUGCAUAAUUAUGUUUAAUUUUUAUAACAGUGUCAAUAGUUAAUAAGUAGUUUUGAUCAUAGUGAAAAAAGACAUGUAUUUUAUUACUUGUUUUCCGUAAUACAUCUGCUGCCUUCUGUCUUAUCUACAUUAUGCAUUGUAUAAACAUUAUAUUGACUGGCUAUGAUAGUCCCUGUAAGAUAAUGUAGGUCACUCUGCCAUGUACUACUUUUAGUGUUAUACAGUUGGUAUAGGACAUGUACUUGCUCACUGUCCAGGUUUAUUCUGUGUAUCAGUAUAUCUUUGUUAAUGUGGACAUGCAUCGAGGAGACUCGUGCAUUUUUAGAUUGUAAUGGUAAACAAAUGCAUCUGUUGUAUCAUGAACUAGCCAAUUGUUAGGGUGGGUGUGUUUUUCACCAGACAAAGAAUUUCCUAUUUGCAGACCCAGUUGUUGUUUAUUGGCCUAAUUAAAAGGAUUUGUUCUCUUUGUUGUGUGUCAAACAGCUGGCUCAUUUCAAUUGUAGAUAAUAGCUCUUCACAUCUGUUUUCUGUCUUUUUGUUUUAUUGUUUGAAACAUUUUACAUCCACAGUGAAACAUCUGUCAGUCUUUAAAAUAAGUUUAACUUAACAAUAUCGUGAUUAAAUUGUAUUAUUUAUGAAA